UUUUGUCUACGUCCCUGAACAAGCCCGAUCCCGUCUGAUUUCGGAAGCUAAGUAGGGUCAGGCCUGGUUAGUACUUGGAUGCGAGACCACCUAGGAAGACCAGGUGCUGCAGGCA
rnacentral:rRNA from 1 species